UUUAAAUGUAAAUUAUUAUACUAAAUUAGUAAUAGUUAUGUUCUUUAAAUUUAAAGAUUUUGGCGGUAUUUUAGUCUAUUCAGAGGAACCUGUUCUAUAAAUGAUAAUCCACGAUUAAUUAAACUUAAUUUAAAAAUUUGUAUAUCGUCGUUUAUAAAUAAUUUUAAAAGAAUUAUAAUUUUUUAGAUUUUAAAUUAGAAAGUAUAUCAGAUCAAGGUGCAGUUUAUAUUUAAGUAGAAAUGGGUUACAAUAAAUUUAUUUAUACGGAAUUAUAUAUAAAAUUAUAUAAUAAAGGUGGAUUUGAUUGUAAUAAAAUUAAAUUUAAUUUUAUGAUUUUAGCUCUAAAAUAUGU
rnacentral:rRNA from 1 species